GACGAACGCUGGCGGCGUGCUUAACACAUGCAAGUCGAACGGAAAGGCCCUGCUUUUGUGGGGUGCUCGAGUGGCGAACGGGUGAGUAACACGUGAGUAACCUGCCCUUGACUUUGGGAUAACUUCAGGAAACUGGGGCUAAUACCGGAUAGGAGCUCAUGCUGCAUGGGGGGGGGUGGAAAGUUUCGGCGGUUGGGGAUGGACUCGGGGCUUAUCAGCUUGUUGGUGGGGUAGUGGCUUACCAAGGCUUUGACGGGUAGCCGGCCUGAGAGGGUGACCGGCCACAUUGGGACUGAGAUACGGCCCAGACUCCUACGGGAGGCAGCAGUGGGGAAUAUUGCACAAUGGGCGGAAGCCUGAUGCAGCAACGCCGCGUGCGGGAUGACGGCCUUCGGGUUGUAAACCGCUUUCGCCUGCGACGAAGCGUGAGUGACGGUAAUGGGUAAAGAAGCACCGGCUAACUACGUG
rnacentral:rRNA from 1 species